rnacentral:lncRNA from 1 species
GAAAGAAUACGAAAACUAAUACCCGACAUUGAAGCCAUAGCUAUUUCUGCCUUGGAUUCAUUGGCCGGAGGCCUAGUCAUUUCCACCUUUCAUGAGAUGAAGAAGGUUUGUAUUAGGAGCUAGAGAUGUUAUAUAUAAAGCUUAUAAUUAGGCUAUAAGUUUGCAGACAUAUUUGUAAUGUGAAGAUCACGUUGCUAAUAAGUUGUUUUGGCUUAUAGAAGUAUUGCCAUUUAAUCAAACUCAGUUUGUUACUUUAUUGUCCUAUUCCUCCACUCUUAUUAUAUUGAGUGUCUCAGAUUUUGUUUUUAUUGAUGGCCUUCGUAGCUAUUGUCUGCUCAUUUUAAUUUUUUAAUGAUAAAAGGGAACAAGUUUGUUCUUCAUGGGUCCUCCACUUUUUGUUAGAGGUAACGAUUUUUUUUACUAAUAUGUGGUUUUCCUUUAACUUCCACAGUUCUCUUUUGAUGUUGGAAUUCUCUCAAUCUUUGGUCAUUUGGAUAGCACCUAUAGAGAGAAGCUGAAAGAGAACUACCAAAUAGUAGAUAAAGGGUACAAUUCUUUCCCUACGAAUAUUCCAGGAACUUCAUAUCACAAAGCACUCUUGGUAAGUUUCCUUUAUUGCUUUAUUUUGUUCUUAGAAAUUUAUGAUUUGAGGCAUUUGAAUCAGUCCAUUUUGUUUAUUACCUUGUUGUUUCCGGUAAAAUUUCUGAAAUAUACAGGCAAGAAGAAGACUUAAUCAGAUUCUAACUGAGAUCAUAAGAGGGAGGAAGGAGAAAAGGCUGGUAGAGAGUGAUCUUUUGGAUCAUUUGUUGAGCUUUCAAGAUGAAGGGGGGAAAAUUUUAUCAGAUGAUCAGAUUGCUGAUAACAUCAUUGGAGUUCUUUUUGCUGCUCAGGACACAACAGCUAGUGUUUUAACAUGGAUUAUCAAGUACCUAAAUGAUGACCAAAAGCUUCUAGAAGCCGUUAAGGUAAUAUGUUUUCAUGUUAGAUCAAUAAUAUAGGCAUAUAACAUUCAAUGAUCAAGUUGUUCUGAACUGAAAAUGGAUAUUUUUAUACUACAGGCAGAACAAAAGGCCAUAUAUGAAUCAAACGACAGAGGAAGAAAGCCAUUGUCAUGGGCACAGACAAGGAAUAUGCCACUUACAAAUAAGGUAUAUAACAUGUACAACUCAUCAAGUGUCCUUUGUCAAGCAACUUCUAUAGAGAGAUAGUUUCUGAUCAACUGGAUGUGAUCGUACUUUCAGGUUAUAAUGGAGAGCUUGAGGAUGGCAAGCAUCAUUUCCUUCACAUUUAGGGAAGCAGUGGUUGAUGUAGAAUACAAAGGUAAAGGCUUCAAACGAGUCAGUCUUUUUUACGUUACCAACAUCUAAGAGGCUUUUCGUUCUUAUAAUCCUUAAAUGUCCCCCAAAAUGUACAGGAUACUUAAUACCUAAGGGCUGGAAAGUGAUGCCACUCUUCCGGAAUAUUCAUCACAGUCCAGAAUUCUUCUCCGAUCCUCAAAAGUUUGACCCGUCUAGAUUCAAGGUGCUCAAUACUAUAAUAAUUAUUCUACUUUCUAUUAAUUUUAGCUAUUAAAGAUGGAAUAUUGACUACGCCUUCAAAAACACCGAGAUUCACUGUCACCAGUGUUAAUAAAUUUACUGACUGUGGUUUUUGGUGAAAGCAGGUACCUCCCAAGCCCAAUACCUUUAUGCCAUUUGGCAACGGCGUUCAUGCCUGCCCUGGUAAUGAGCUUGCCAAGCUGGAGAUGCUCAUUUUGAUCCACCAUUU